rnacentral:snRNA from 1 species
AUACUUUCCUGGCAGGGGAGUGCCAUGAUCAUGAAGGUGGUUUUCCCAGGGUGAGGCUUAUCCAUUGCACUCCGGAUGUGCUGACCCCUGCGAUUUCCCCAAAUGUGGGAAACUCGACUGCAUAAUUUGUGGUAGUGGGGGACUGCGUUCGCGCUCUCCCCUG